UUGGUUUUGUCUUUGGUCUGUGUUGAUAGGACUGACUCAGCACAAGAGAAGGGGGGUGGUGGGUGGCUGUUGGUGGCAGCUUCAAAACUCCCUACUGAACUGCCCUUCUGGAAAAGCAGUGCAGUGUCACUUUACCCAUUUUUCUCUUACUAAAAUGAUAAUUAUUUAUCACACAUUUAAAGCUUGAAAAAGCCAUAUUCCUGGUGGCAGGCCAAAAAGACAAAGAUUCCAAAUUGAUUCCAAAGAUUCCAAAUUCCAAAUUCAGUUACAACUGAAAAUUUCAGAGAUUGGUGUUUUAUUCAAGACCUUUGCUUUUAACAACACCUGUCACAAAGAAGCUUUACAGACAUCCUGACCCAAGCUCCAAUUAGCAAGCCAAAGCUGACAGUGGCAAGGAAAAACUCCCUAAAAGCAUGAGGAAGAAACCUUGAGAGGAACCAAGUCUUAAAUGCCCAUCCUCCUCCUGUUGACACCAGACACCAUAGCAGGAAUAAAAUAAGCAAUCAAAUGAAAAAUAAAAAGGUAACACAAGGCUUUUUCAGCUACCUUUUUUUGUUGUUGUUGAGAAUCAAUUGCCAUGCUUUUCAAAUGGCUAGCUUGUUAGUUUAGAAAAGAGGAACUAUGUAGCUUUUAUUUUCACUAAGAAAUGGGGGAGUGAAGUAGCAUCACUGAUUUAUCUCUCAGUUAGGAGACCAAGAACAUCUUGCCCUUAUAUGUAAGUGAUUAGCCAUGCAGUUGUGCCUGGGUCCAACUAUAACCACGAGCUUUAGUUUUAUGUGCUCAGUUGUGUUUGUGAACAAUCUUCCAUUCCACAAGUUACAUUCUUUUGAGGUUACUUGGCCUAAUUGAAAAGAGAACCUACAUCUUCUGAGAGCAGGGGGAUGGAGGGAUAAUGAGGGGCCCAGGGAACUACAAUGGUCUACAUGUCCCCCAGUGAAGACGGGGCCACAUUCAGAGUGCUUGAGCCUCCGCCUGCUGCUGGGUACGUCCAAUGCUGUUGCUAUGGAGACAGUAAAAACAUGUUAUAAAGGAAGGAAGAGAGAGUGCAAGAGAUACAGAGAGCAGAUAUUGAAUUGUUUGCGUUGUCUUGCAGCUGAAGGAGACCUCUGGCCCAUGUGAGUUGGCUGUUGGAGUGGGACAGCUGAGCUAUGCUUUCCUGUCUGCCCCGAGUCCCUCCUGAUCUUCUGACAAUAUGAACUGUUCAGUAAGACCACAUGUUUAAGAGGAUGAAAAUAUUCAUGCUUGAAUGAGAAUGCACUGUGAUUUUUUGCUCAUUUGAACAAUCCAUUCUCUUAGCCAGUCAAAAUUGUUUAGUAAUUCCACUUCAAUUAGUAAUUUAUUAACUUUAAUCUAAUUCUGGAAGUACGUCUAUCUAUCUAUCUAUCUAUCUAUCUAUAUAUAUAUAUAUAUAUAUUUUUUUUUUUUAUUAUUAUUUUUUUUUAAAUGUGUAAUUGGUACACAUAAGAAAAUGCAUAUAUGGCAUAUUGUCCGCUGACUGGAAAGGGCCCUACAAGAUGAGCGUUCAAAGACCUAAGAUAUUUAAGAACAGUCUCAAAGUUUUUGUAGCUUUACAAUCCAUCAAGGAAUAUUAUGACCAGAAUAAUUUCAUCUAAUGCCUGCCAUUUCAGCAUCUCUUACUGUGGUUUGGGGGGUAUGUCAGAGUGAGAGAGAGAAAGAGAGGGAGUGCUUUUCAUAUUCCACAGGGUACUGUUUUCUGGUUCUGAUUAAGAAGGGGCCACUGAAAGUGCGCCAUGAAUCACAACUGGGUGCUGACCUUGACAGCUGUCCUCAAACCACCAGCCUCUCAUGUUACAUGUUGUCUUAUGGUGAUGUGAGAGCAGAAGUUACCAAAUGCGAACGUGCUUGCUGAGCCUUGGAAAAGAAGGCCUGCAAAGACAGCUCAGUCAGCUGAAGCAAAAGUGUGGGGUUUACUGUCGGUAACAUUUAAUUUCAAAGGUCAAGAUGUCCACAGCAGAGGAAAGCCACCGUGGCAACAGCAUUUCAAUUCUGGUGGAGACCAGAUGAGAAUAGUUGGAGCCUCAGGGUCAGUGGGUACAGUAGAGUCUUAUGCUAUACUUCAGGUUGUCUCCCAGGUCAGGGCUUUGAAAAAACACAUGACUCAUCUUCCAUAGGUGUGACAAAACUAAGCCACUUUUUGAACAAAUGCUAUAAAAAUGUCCCUAGUGUUUCUGCAAAAUGGUAAGAAGUAGAAAUAAAAUACUUUUUUUUUUAGAUUCCUGCCACUUUAUUCAUAUUAAAAACAAGGAAAUUAAAGAAUAAAACAAACUGUUAUGGCACAAAAAAAUAAGUUAAAGGAUUGGCAAUCUAUCAAUAUCAGUUAGCAUAUCAGCAGUUUU